CCCAGGUGCUAAAAUCUUUUGUGCCAAGGGCAUUGUGAUGGCACGAUCCAUGUCUCCCGCGAGUGCUCAGCAUCCCGAAGCCCCAAAGAGGAGGGCUUCAAGGCUGGACAACAAGCUUCACUAGACGAAAGCAUUUCCCUUCUAAAACAGAGUGCUACUGACAUCAAUGCACAAGUUAGUCUUGAUACUAAGAUUGUCAUGGAAUUGCUUGAUCUAUGCUAGGUCAAUAUGUCAGCCAACCACUUACAAAUAAUCAAUUGCAUUUCUUCCUCUGAACUGUGAAACCGACGAGUGAUGACGCAUCAGCAAUUUAGCAAUAGAAGAUGUCAGUGAACACGAGUACUCAGUUAAGAGCAAUGAAGCCUAGAUACUUUAGAGUGUAAUUUUAUAUAAGAAUAACUAAAUGACACUUAACUCGUUGAGCAAUUGUUGUUGAGGUAUUGUCUCACCCUUUAUCUGCUCUGUUUUAAACUGUGGAAUGCUAUGGGCUGGAGCUACAGGGGAAGAGGGAGGUAAGCGUGGAUGCAAUGAAUAUUGUUCGGAUAAAAUAUUGUCUUCAGCCAUCUGUAUCGCUCUGGUUUUCCUGUAGUGUGGAGUUUCAACUCUCGAUGUGGUCUGCGUGUUAUUGAUUCAGCUGCCUCACCAUUGCAGGAAAUUAUUGUGUGCUUUCGAUUGGGAUGCUGAACCAGAUGAAAAAUGCCACUUCAGCUUUGAGUGCAGUCAUAGGUUUGAAUUGUAAAUUGUAGCUGCUUAAAACUUUGGUAUAAAAUAAAGCCCUUACUAGUAGAUGAGGCACGUUAUUAGCAAUGUUUCACGUUUUCUUACUUGCAAUACUAUGCUUGCCUGUUCAGGUCUUCCAAGACCUAAAUCAUCAGAAAUCUAGCACAUACAACACCUUUUUUUAAAAUUAGGUUACCCUGAUAUAAGCCUCCGUUCAAUUUUCUUAUACAGAGGGGUUAGAAAUAGUAACCUUGCUUGCUCAAAACUAAAUCUACUGAUAAAUGGAUUUUUUUUCAAACCACACAUGGUGUUUAGUGGGUCUCAUGGAUGGAUUGGGUUGUGGCAGUAGUUCUUGCGUGUAGUAUCUAUUUUGACAAAGCGAUCGAUCAGGGCGCAUUGGAGGUAGAAGAAGAGAAAAUGUUUGGGGCUUCUGUGGUGUUGAACAUUCAGUGUUUAUGUGCUUUGUACAUGCACGGCCAGUUCAGUAACUAGAUGGCCUUUUCUACUGUACUGGUGCUGCUACUUUUCACAUGCUAGCUUAUUUGAAAAGCCUCAACAGUGUGUGCCACAUGUAAACAGUCCAUGUUGAAAGAAUAGAAGCAGAAGUGUGGAGAUAAUGUAAUUGGUCAGUUAGGAAAUUCAGUCUCAAUGAGCUCAACUAAUGACAUGUGUGAGUUGAGCCUGAGGUCAUUUUCAAAGUAACAGCAGUAUUUUACUUUCCUUUUCAUGUCA